UAACAUCCGGAAACGGGUGCUAAUACCGCAUAGUUUUCUUGAUCGCAUGAUCGGGAAAGGAAAGACGGCCUUUGUGCUGUCGCUUAUGGAUGGACCCGCGGCGUAUUAGUUAGUUGGUGAGGUAACGGCUCACCAAGACGAUGAUACGUAGCCGACCUGAGAGGGUGAUCGGCCACAUUGGGACUGAGACACGGCCCAAACUCCUACGGGAGGCAGCAGUAGGGAAUCUUCCGCAAUGGACGAAAGUCUGACGGAGCAACGCCGCGUGAGUGAAGGAAAAGGUUUUCGGUAUCGUAAAACUCUGUUGUCAGAGAAGAACAAGUUGGAGAGUAACUGCUCCAGCCUUGACGGUAUCUGACCAGAAAGCCACGGCUAACUACGUGCCAGCAGCCGC
rnacentral:rRNA from 1 species